CCAAUCAGAUAUAACUGCACCCAAACGCUUCAGUAAUGGUUGCGAUUGAUCAAACGUUGCCAGAUGCUGUCCUGUUGGAAAUUCUUCUUUACGUGAUCCUGGAGGAGGGGUGAUGCUACAUUAUUAAGUCUGUCUUUGGUUUGUUCCAAAUUCAGAAGUCUGUUGUACUGUAUACAGACUCCUUUCGAAAGAGGGCACAAUCCAGCUGGCUUGACGGAGUAUCUUCUUUUACAUAUUUGAUUAGAGGUUUAAAAAGGUGGAACAAAAUGGAGAACAAGUCUAAGCCAUGUCAGGAAUUCAACAAAAUGUACACCCUGCAGACACUGUGAUGAGGUUUACAACAACUGCUUACCAGGUCACUGCAGUCACCCGGAUCGAGUACGUAUCCAGACCAGAUGGUGGAUCAGCACCUAGA